rnacentral:rRNA from 1 species
GAUGAACGCUAGCGGCAGGCCUAAUACAUGCAAGUCGAACGGGAUUGAGAAGCUUGCUUUUCAUGAGAGUGGCGCACGGGUGCGUAACACGUAUGCAACCUACCUUCAACUGGGGGAUAGCCUUCCGAAAGGGAGAUUAAUACCGCAUAACAUAAUGAAACGGCAUCGUUUUAUUAUCAAACGUUAGGGUUGAAGAUGGGCAUGCGUCCGAUUAGCUUGUUGGUGAGGUAACGGCUCACCAAGGCGACGAUCGGUAGGGGAUCUGAGCGGAUGACCCCCCACACUGGUACUGAGACACGGACCAGACUCCUACGGGAGGCAGCAGUAAGGAAUAUUGGUCAAUGGACGCAAGUCUGAACCAGCCAUGCCGCGUGCAGGAAGACGGUCCUCUGGAUUGUAAACUGCUUUUGUUAGGGAAGAAACCCCUGGAUGCGUCCGGGGCUGACGGUACCUAAAGAAUAAGGAUCGGCUAACUCCGUGCCAGCCGCCGCGGUAAUAC